GAAGAGAGGCUCCGGGCUUACCGGGUACAGGGAUUAGGGAUGAUUCUGGAGAAGGAGCCUGAGAACGGCUACUACAUCUACGGAAGGCAGCAGGCGCGUAAUUACCCAAUCCUGACUCAUUCUAGGCGGUGACAAGAUAUAACAACGCGGUUAUUAUCGCGAUUGUAGUGAGGGUAUUCUAAACAGAACCUAUAGUACGAUUAGAGGGCAAGUCUGGUGCCAGCAGCCGCGGUAAUUCCAGCUCUAAUAGCGUAUAUUAAAGUUGCUGCAGUUAAAAAGCUCGUAGUUGGAUUUCAAGGAUUGUAAACCCCUCCGGGGAAUACAUCCUACUAGUCUUCUGACUGUUACUGUGAGAAAAUUAGAGUGUUUCAAGCAGCUUUCGCAAGAUACAUUAGCAUGGAAUAACGAAUGUAUUUAGAAUCUUGGUUAAUUCUAAAUUACGAUUAAUAGAGACAGUUGGGGGCACAGUAUUUAAUUGCAGAGGUGAAAUUCUUGGAUUUGUUAAAGACUAACGUAUGCGAAGCUCUUGCCAGGAUGUCUUCAUUAAUCAGGACGAAAGAUAGGGGAUCAAAGACAUCAGAUACUGUCGUAGUCCUAUCUAUAACUAUGCCGACUAGGGAUUGGAGUGGGCUCACACCAUCUCAGUACCUCAUGAGAAAUCAAAGUCUUGGGUUCUGGGGGAGCAUGUCGCAGACUGAAACUUAAGAAUUGACGAUGCACCACAGAGUGGAGCCUGCGCCUAUUGACCAAC
rnacentral:rRNA from 1 species